rnacentral:rRNA from 1 species
CACGUAGUUAGCCGUGACUUUCUGGCGGGGCACCAUCAGUCAGCACCCAUUUCCUGAUGCUGCCUUUUUUCCCCCGCAACAGAGCUUUACGACCCGAAGGCCUUCUUCACUCACGCGGCAUCGCUCGUUCAGGCUUGCGCCCAUUGACGAAAAUUCCCUACUGCUGCCUCCCGCAGGAGCCUGGGCCGUGUCUCAGUCCCAAUGUGGCCGUCCGCCCUCUCAGGCCGGCUAUGCAUCAUCGUCUUGGUGGGCCUUUACCCCGCCAACCAACUAAUGCACCGCAGGUCCAUCCGCGCCCCAUCCCCCUAAAGGAUGUUUCACACGAAAGAAGAUGACCUCCUUCCUGUACAUCGGGAUUUGUUCUCCGUUUCCAGAGCGUAUUCCCGGUGCGCGGGCAGGUUCCCUACGUGUUACCUCACCCGUUCGCCACUAGAGACCCGAAGGUCCUCUCGUUCGACUUGCAUGUAUUAGGCAUGCCGCAGCCGUUCAUCCUGACGCCAGGACUCUAAAA